GUGGCACCCUAAUGAGCUAGGGCUAGACGCUUCGACCACCACGCCAAGUGAUUCUGAAGAUCUCUAAUUCUGUCAAGGCGAGAGCGCUCCAACACGUGUUCAUCGGCUGUUGCUUUUUAAAGAGAAGGCAAGGAGGAAGUCUUGCUUUUCUUGUACUUUUUUUCCUAGAAGCAGCAUUAAAGAUUUACUCCUUAUGUUGAGGAAGCGGAAAGCCUCUUCACUUUAAAAGUGUUUAUGAUCGGGCCUGGCGCGGUGACUCACCGCGCCCGGCCUGCUACACCUUUUAAAAUUCACAGCAAUGAUAAAUGUAUUAGACUCAUUGCCAGGAUAAAGAUUUAAUCUAUU
rnacentral:lncRNA from 1 species